rnacentral:misc_RNA from 1 species
UACAGAGGCCCCAAGCGUUAUCCGGAAUCACUGGGCGUAAAGGGUGCGUAGGCGGCCUUGUUAGUCUCUUGUGAAAGCCCGCAGCUUAACUGCGGAUCCGCAAGGGAAACGGCAAGGCUCGAGGGUGCGAGAGGUGUACGGAACUCAUGGUGUAGGGGUGAAAUCCGUUGAUAUCAUGGGGAACACCGAAUGCGAAGGCAGUACACUGGCGCAUUCCUGACGCUGAGGCACGAAAGCGUGGGUAGCGAACGGG